rnacentral:rRNA from 1 species
UACAGAGGGUGCGAGCGUUAAUCGGAAUUACUGGGCGUAAAGCGUGCGUAGACGGUUAUUUAAGUCGGGUGUGAAAGCCCCGGGCUCAACCUGGGAAUUGCAUUCGAGACUGAAUAGCUAGGGUACGGUAGAGGGAAGUGGAAUUUCCGGUGUAGCGGUGAAAUGCGUAGAUAUCGGAAGGAACAUCAGUGGCGAAAGCGGCUUCCUGGACCAGUACCGACGUUCAGGCACGAAAGCGUGGGGAGCAAACAGG